UACGGGGGGAGCAAGCGUUGUUCGGAUUUACUGGGCGUAAAGGGCGCGUAGGCGGCCUCUGCAAGUCGGGUGUGAAAGCCCUCAGCUCAACUGAGGAAGUGCGCCCGAAACUGCAGAGCUUGAGUGCCGGAGAGGGUGGCGGAAUUCCCCAAGUAGAGGUGAAAUUCGUAGAUAUGGGGAGGAACACCGGUGGCGAAGGCGGCCACCUGGACGGUAACUGACGCUGAGACGCGAAAGCGUGGGGAGCAAACAGG
rnacentral:rRNA from 1 species